CGGGACGUAGCGCAGCUUGGUAGCGCACCUCGUUCGGGACGAGGGGGUCGCAGGUUCGAAUCCUGUCGUCCCGA
rnacentral:tRNA from 1 species